AAAUUGAAGAGUUUGAUCAUGGCUCAGAUUGAACGCUGGCGGCAGGCCUAACACAUGCAAGUCGAACGGUAACAGGAAGAAGCUUGCUUCUUUGCUGACGAGUGGCGGACGGGUGAGUAAUGUCUGGGAAACUGCCUGAUGGAGGGGGAUAACUACUGGAAACGGUAGCUAAUACCGCAUAACGUCGCAAGACCAAAGAGGGGGAGCUUCGGGCCUCUUGCCAUCGGAUGUGCCCAGAUGGGA
rnacentral:rRNA from 1 species